rnacentral:tRNA from 1 species
CAGAGCAUAGCUAAAACAGUAAAGCAUCUCCCUUACACCGAGAAGUCACUUGUGCAAUUCAAGUUGCCCUGA